AACUGAAGGAGGGUUUUCAACCAUACUAAGGGAUUUUAUCCUUCAGGCAAAGGGGAGUGAUGAUGGUGUAAAGGUAUCAACUCAUUUAAUCCUACCAGCAACAGGAAAGCAGUGGAAAGCAGGCACCGAUCGUCCAUUUUACACAUAAGAAAUGUGAGAGUCAGGGAAGUUUAAAGGACUUUCCUGGCAUGGUCUGUUUAAUUUGUGGCAGAGCUGUGACAAACCCAGGUUGUCUGGCUCAGGCCUCCAUGCUUCCUUUUAGAGAAAUGGUGAAAACUCUAUGAGAAGUAGAAGAUCUUGAUGAUGAAAAGUGACCAAUACCAGCAUAAAAUAACAACCCCCAAGUGUCCUGGUGGCUGGAACAGACAGCUGACAAUUCCUACAUCAUGGUUUGGUCUUUGCGAGUGCUAACUAGGUUUAACGGGGAAGGGUGGGGGUACAGACAGGGACUGUGCUGCAAUUUCCGUCAGCCGUUGCUGAUGGGUACAGGUGCACUGGUGACAGAAGGGACAGCUGUGUGAGGCAGAGCAAGGGAAUGUAGGGCAGGUAUCAUGACAUGAGCUGCAAAUCAAAAGCACAAUGAGAUAUCACUGCAACCUGUCAGAAUGGCUAUCAUCAAAAAACCCACAAAUAACAAAUGCUGUUGAGGAUGUGGAGAAAGUGGAACCCUCGUAUGCUAUUGGUGAGCAUGUGAAUUGGUGCACCCACUGUGGAAAGCAGUAUGGAAGUUUCUCAAAAAACUAAAAAUAGAAUUACCAUACAAGCCAGCAAUUCCACUCCAGGGUAUUUAUCUGAAAAAAACAAAAACACUAAUUAAAAAAGAUACGUGCACCCCAGUGUUCGUAGCAGCAUUAUCUACAGUAGCCAAGAUAUGGAAGCAACUCAAGUGUCUAUCAACAGAUGAAUGGAUAAAGAAAAUGUGGGAUAUAUAGAUACAUAUAUAUGAAAUGGAAUACUAUUCAGCUAUAAAAAGAAUGAAAGCUUGUCAUUUGCAACAACAUGGAUGGGUGGGCCUGGAGGGCAUUAUGACUAGUGAAAUAAAUCACAGACAGAAAGACAAAUAAUGUUAUGAUAUCACUUGUAUAUGAAAUCUUUUUUUUUCUUUUGGUCUUUUCUAGGGCUGGGAGCUACAGCUCCAAUUUGACCCUUAUCCUGGAAACCUCCAUAUGCCACAGGUAUGGCACUUAAAAAAAAAAGACAAAAAAAAUAAUAUUCAGUUACAUAUGUAUAUGUGUAUGUGUGUGUGUGUAUCUAUAUGUAUCACAUUUAUAAUCCACUUACCCAUGACAAACACCUAAGUUGAUAACAUAUCUUGGCUAUUGUGAAUAAUACUGUGAUGAACAUGGAAGUGCAGAUAUCUUUUUGAGGUACUAAUUUCAGUUCCUUUGGAUAUAUACUGAGAGGAGUGGGAUUGUUGGACCAUAUGGUAGUUCUAUUUUUAAUUUUUUAAGGAAUUGCCAUACUGCUUUCCAUAAUGGGUGCACCAUUGCUUAGUCUCAUCAACAGUAUACAAAUGUUCCCAUUUUUGAGCAGCCUGUAGAACACUUACCUUUGGUUUUUUGAAUAAUAUCCAUCAUAACUGGUGUAAGAUGAGAUCUCAUUGUGGUUUUGAUUUGUAUUUUCCUGAUGUUAAGUCCCUUUUCAUAUAUCUAUUGGCUAUGUGUAUGUCUUCUUUGGAAAAAUAUCUAUUCAGUUUCUUUGUCUUUUUAAUCUUUUUUGUUGUUGUUAUUGAGUUGUAGGCAUAACAUGUAUUUUGAGUAUUCACUCUAUCAGAUAUAUUGUUUGUAAAUAUUUUUUCCAAAGUUUUCUACAUAUUCAGGGCAAUUCAAUGGCAUUUUGGGAAAAAAUAGAAAAAUAAUCCUAAAAGUCAUAUGGAACCGCUAAAGAUCCCAGAUAGCCUAAGCAAUGUUGAGCAAGAAGAGCAAAGCUGGAGGCAUCAUAUUUCCUGAAUUCAAAAUAUAUCACAAAGCUACAGUAGUCAAAACAUUAUGGUACUGGCAUAAAAACAAACAUAUAGACCAACGAAACAGAGUAGAGAGCCUAGAAAUAAAGCCGCAUAUACAGUCAACCAAUUUUUUUUUUCAGUUUCAUGCAUUGUGACUCCUCAUUUUUAUUUUUAUUUUUCCAGUUGUAUUGAUAGUGCAUGAUGACUUGAUUUACAUAUAUUGUGAAAUGAUUACCACGUAGAUUCAACUAACAUCUGCCUUUUCAUAUAGACACUAUAAAAAUAAAGAGGAAAGUUUUCUCCAUUUGAUGAGAACUGAUAGGAUUUAAUCUCUUAAGAGCGUCCCUAUAAACAAUAUAGCAGUGUUAACUAUGUUCAUCAUCUUGUCCAUUAUGGCCCUAGUACUUAUUUAUCGUAUAACUAGAAGUUUAUAUCUUUUGACCACCUUCCUUCAAUUCUUCUCCAUCCACUCUCCACCUCUGCUAACUAAAAGUCUUAUCUCUUUUUUUAUGAGUUGGUGUUUUUUAAAUUUCACAUAUAGGAGUUCCUAUUGUGGCUCAGCAGGUUAGGAACCUGACUAGUACCCAUGAGGAUAUGUGUUUGAUCCCUGGCCUUGCUCAGUGGGUUAAGGAUCCUGUGCUACUGCAAGCUGUGGUGUAAGUCACAGAUACGAUUGGGAUCCUGUGUUGUUGUGGCUGUGGUUUAGACCGGUAGCUGCAGAUCCGAUUCAACCCCUAGCCUGGGAACUUCCAAAAGCCACAGGUGCGGCCCUAAAAAGAAUAAAAAAAUUCUACAUGUAAAUGAUAUCAUACGUAUCUGCCUUUCUCUAUCUGACUUAUUUCACUAAGCAUAAUACUGUCUAGGUACAUCUAAGUUGUUGCAAAGGGAAUAAUUUCAUUCUUUUUGGGACUGAGUAAUAGUUCAUUUUAUAUAUAUAUAUAUAUAUAAAAUCUUUAAUUUAUUUUAAGUUAAUUUUUGUGAGUGGCCUAAGAUAAGGGUUUAGGUUCAUUCUUUCACAUGUGAAUAUCCAAUAUUCCAACACUAUUUAUUGAGGAGAACUGUCUUUGCCUUCCUUGUCAAAGAUUAGCAGUCAGCUAUUCUUAUGUAUUUCCCCAUUUUCACAAUGUGUAAGAAUUUCCCCAUUUAGUAUUCUUGUAUUGUGCCAAGAAUACACAUGGGGAAAGGAUAGUCUCUUCAAUAAAUGGUAUUGAGAAAACUGGAUAGCCAUAGGCAAAAGAAUGAAAUUGGACAUUUAUCUUAUACCAUAUUAAAAAAUCAACUCAAGAGUUCCCAUUGUGGCUUAGUGGAUUAAGGACCCAACAUAGUCUCUGUACAGGUUUAAUCCUUGGCCUCACUCUUUGGGUUAAGGACCCAGCAUUGCCACAAGCUGUGGUGUAGGUCAAAGAUGCGGCUUGGAUCUGGUGUUGCUAUGGCUGCAGCUCCAAUUUGAUCUCUAACCUAGGUGUGGCAGUAAAAAAAANAAAAAAAAAAAAAAAAAAAAAAAAAAAA
rnacentral:lncRNA from 1 species